CCUACGGGUGGCAGCAGUGGAGAAUAUUGGGCAAUGGGCGCAAGCCUGACCCAGCAACGCCGCGUGAAGGAAGAAGGCUUUCGGGUUGUAAACUUCUUUUGUCAGGGACGAAGCAAGUGACGGUACCUGACGAAUAAGCCACGGCUAACUACGCUCCAGCAGCCGCGGUAAUACGGAGGUGGCAAGCGUUAUACGGAUUUACUGGGUGUAAAGGGCGUGUAGGCGGGGGAGCAAGUCAGAUGUGAAAACCACGGGCUCAACCUGUGGACGGCAUUUGAAACUGUUUUUCUUGAGUGCUGGAGGGGCAAUCGGAAUUCCGGGUGUAGCAGUGAAAUGCGUAGAUAUACGGAGGAACACCAGUGGCGAAGGCGGAUUGCUGGACAGUAACUGACGCCGAGGCGCGAAAGCGUGGGGAGCAAACAGGAUUAGAUACCCGAGUAGUC
rnacentral:rRNA from 1 species